rnacentral:lncRNA from 1 species
GAAGGAGAUUCUUUCUUGUAUGUGGUAUGGUGAUUAUGGGAAUUAGCAAUAACUAGCAGCACAAAAUGCUGAAAAGGUUGGGAUUCUUCAUGCAGUAUGUAUCUUUCAUGGCAGGCAAGUCACGAGUACAAUACUAGCAAUUAAUUAAAGUUUUAAAAUUAAUGUUGUUAUGUAAUGUCAAUAAUGAUUUCACCUUUCAUACAACCAUAUCUUAUAUCCAUAUUCCUCGAAUGUACAGCAGAUUGAGUAGUAAAUGAAGUAAUGACUGACACAGUUCAGCAAGUAAAUGAAGUCAGCGUAUAUAUAGAAAAUCAGUUUUAGAGUAAUGCCAUACUACUACUCUUACUUUGUGGUGAUUUAGAAAAUAAAUUAAGGAAAAUGCUAAAUAGUAUUUCUGUGGCACUGAUUAAGGAUAUAAGAAAAUUUUAUCUUAAAAUUUAUGUAUUUAAUACCUUAAAAAUGUAAAAAAUCAUUUUUCUAUCAUUAAUUUUGUCAUUAAUUUUCAUUUUUUAAUAUGCUUUACAAAUGUAUGGAAAUACUGUUUAGAAUGACGCUAAAUGUAGGUAAGGGUUUGGUUCAUCAUGAAAGACUUAAUUAAGUCUUGCAUAGUAGACUUCGCCUGGGUAGAUAUAUUAUCUAUAGUCUAUAGAAUAAAACUAUAGAUAUACGUGCUUCAAAAUGUUUAAUAUGGUUGUAUUCUCUUGACCUAAAUUGAAACUCGUGAUCAAUAGUUGUAUUGUUAGAAAUUUUGGGUCACAAACUUAAUACAUUGAAUAACUAAAUAUAUCUAGUUCAUUUUUUAGACUAAAUACAUUAGUUAUUUAAUGUAUAAAAAAAAGGACAUUUGGUUAUAAUUAAGGCCGAAUGGAGUAUUUCAUUUCUCUCUAUCUCUCUUAAUUUCAUUUUCAACUUCUCUCAUCGAUAAAAAAUAAUAAACAAAUCAAGAAUGAGAAUGAAAUUUGUGAAUGAGAGAGGAAUAAAAAAUGAGAUAGAUGCAAAGAAUUUGUGAAGGAGAUGAUCCAAUUUGAAAGUACACUUUGAGUUCAAUAGUAAAUCCUGAGAGUGGGCGGAAUGGGUGAUCGCCCAUGGCCCUCUUUUUUAGGGCACGGAAUAAUUUUUUCUUAAUAUAUUAAUUCUCUGAUAUCUAGAGGAAGAGGUCCUAAAAAUCCAUAGUUUGAUCGUAAGGUUAGUAAAGUCUAAUUAUGAAUUGUUUCCAUCAGAAAUUCAACUCGGUUUCUUCCAAACGAUUCGUCCUAGGAGGACUCAUUAAUCACUUGAGCGUAAUUACUUAGUUAAUAAUUAUUUUAUUAGUAUUUUUUAUUUUUUUAGGUAAAUUAAAAGCUUUAAGACAUCAAAGUGACUAUUGAACAUCAUAAAAACAUCUAGUAGCACUAAUCUUAUGCCUAUUUACUCAUAUAUAUAUAUAUAUAUAUAUAUAUAUAUAUAUAUAUAUAUAUAUAUAUAUAUAUAUAUAUAUAUAUAUNUUUUUUUUUUUUUUUUUUUUAAGAAUUGUAUGGUGGAUAAAAAUUCAUCUAUUUUAAAUUUCAAUAAAUUAAUUACUAUUUUUUUUUUAUAAACAAUGUUAGUCAUUAGUAUUACAAUGUUAUGUUAGUUUUUUCUCCUUUAUCAUGUGAUCUUUGUUAGCCAAAACUUUUAUUUGAUUUUCUCCCUCUCAUACACUUGUUUUGUUUGAAAGAAAGUGAAGGAUGGAAUGAGAGGAUUCAACCUCGUCAUUUUCUUAGUCCAUCAACAACUUUUAUGUUUGAAAAAUGGUGAUUAAUGCUACGGUAGAUCAUCUUUAUGAAUAGUUCAUCGUGAACUAGUGUACUGAAUUGUCCUUUUCUUCUUUAUUAAUAUAUAUCUAUAUAUUUUGCCAUUCACAAAAAAAAUAAGAAAAACCAUUGUGAACUAGCGUCUAAAAUUAUUAAAAAUUCUAAUAAUUGUCGAUAAUAUUAUUUAAAAGUAAAUUACGACUCUCAUCGUCUCUACGAUUAAAACAGUGUCAUAAUUUACUUCAUUUUAAUAAAAGUUACGGUACAUUCUUAUUUUCCGUUGUUUUCAUUCUACCAAUAUCAAUUAAGUCAUUAUCUCAAUUAUAAAAUUAAGAUAACCAUUAAUUUAUACUUUGAAACAAUUUAAGUAUAUCGUCGUUAAAAUUUUAAAUAACUAGUUUAAAGACUCACGCAUUCGCAUGGGUCAAUUGACAUUCAUUCAUCCUUCACUGCCUCCAGUUAUUAAAGAAGUGAUAUGGCAUCCUCCUUUGGAACAUUGAGUUAAGUGCAACACAGAUGGAGCUGAAAAUAAUCUCACUUCUUCUUGUGCUGACAGUUUUAGAAAUCACAAUGCUGAUUUUUUAGGUGGUUUUGCUGAAAAUACUAGUCUGAAGUCUGCUUUCAACAUGGCUGAAUUAUGUGGAGCUACGAGAGCCAUUGAAUUAGCUCAUAAUAGGAAUUGACCAAUCUUUGGCUAGAGUCAGAUUACUCUUGUUGUUCAAGCUUUCACUAAUGCUUCUUUAGUGCCUUGGGAGUUAAGCAAUAUAUGGUUGAAUUGUACUAGAAUCACUAGAAAUAUGAAUUUUGUGGUGUCUCAUGUUUAUAAGGAGGGAAACCAAUGCGCAGAUAGAUCGGCUACCAUUGGUUUAGACUUGAAUAACUUUACUUUUUGGAAUGAGCUUCCCCCUCUAAUUUCUUCUUUUAUUUAUUGGCAAUAGAUCGUGUAAACCUUAUUUUAGGUUUGUCCACAUGUAAGGAGGUUUUUGGUCUAGUCCUCCUCUUUUUUUUGUAUAUCUCUUGUCUUUCAUGGUUAUAUAUAUUUUGAGGUAGUAGUUGUUUGGUACUCCUCUUUUUUUUUAAAAAAAAAAAACUAUAUUAAUAUAGAAAAUUUAUUUAAAAUUAAAUAUUUAAAAAUUUGUUAUAUAAUAUUGUUAAAAUAUAAAUAGAAUUAUUAUGUUAAUUAUUUCUUGUAAACUUAUUUAUUCAAUUUUUUAUGUUUCAGUGACAAAUAAUGGUCUCGUCCGUGUAUAUUCUUAAUAAAAAAUUAGAAAUUUUAUUAGGAAUAUUUAUUGUAAUUUAAAAAGUUUGAUAGUAAUUAACUUCAUUAUAUUAUUAUUAAUGGUUACUAGUAAACUUUGUAGUAAUAUUGUUUAUGUUUCAUUUAUAUAAAAAAAAAUUCUUUAUGUUUCUUUUUUAUUUUUUUAUAAAAAAUAUUGUUUAUGUUUCUUUUAUUUAUAAAUUUUUUUAUUUCUUUUUUUUUUUGAGAAAAUUUUCUAUAACUUUUUUAUUUCUACUAGCAGGCAAGGCAGACGCGUGCCUGUGUCUAACUUUAUGUCCAAUAAAAAAAGAUAUGACUUAUGUUAUGAUGAGUUUGUUAAUAAAAGAUUUUUGCUACUAAAAAAAAGAUGUGCCUUAUGUUUUGGUGAGUUUGUUAAUAAAAGAUUUUUAUUACCAUUAAAAAAAAUUCAAGGGUAUUGUUGGUAUUAUGAAAAAUACACAUCAAAACUCAUGUAUUCUCUUUAGUCUUUAUAUAUAGUAUAGAAUAGAUAUAGAUAUUCUUAUUUUAAUGCGAUUUCUUCUUAUUUUUUCUAUAAUUUUUUUUAUUAACUAAAUUUCUAUAAUUUUUUUAUUGUUUUGUUUCUUUCUAUUUUUAUGUAUAGAUUGUUCUAUUUUGUUCCUAUCUAUAAUCUGUUUUGUUCCUAUUAUUAAGCAUAUAAUUUUUCUAUAUUUUUAAAUAUUUAUAUUUUUGUUAAUGAAAUUACAAAGAAAGAUAUAAAACUUGCAACGUGUUUAAAAGUAAUAAGGAUAAAUUAGUAACUUUGGUGGUAAUUGAUUUUAAUAUAUUACUAAUAGAUUUUUAAAUAUUGAUUUAUGAUAGACCACUUUGAAGGUAGUCUAUACCAGUGUUAGACUCUGUUUGGUAAAAAAUAAUAAAUAGCUGACAUAAAAAAAGUAUGUUUAUUAAUAUUUAAUUUUUUAAAGUAAGAUGAUAAAGGUAAAAUUAGAAGAAAAAUGAUAAGCUAUAAGUUAUAAGUUCAUAAGCUACUUGAAAUAGUGUUUAAAAAAUAAACUAUUAUGGCUCUGUUUGGUAAAAAAUAGCGGAAAGCUGAUAAGCUAGCCUUAUAGCUUAUAAGCUAAAGCUCUGUUUCGUAACAAUUUUAAAAAAAGAGCUUAUAGAUACGUUUAUAGCUUAUUUUUCAAACGCUAUUUCAAGUAGCUUAUGAGCUAAUAACUUAUCAUUUUUUCUUCCAAUAUUACCUCAAUCAUCUUACUUUUAAAAAAUUAAAUAAAAUAUUAAUUAAACAUAUUUUUUUAUGUCAUUUAAUACUUAUAAGCUAGUUCAACAACUAAUUUUACCAAACACUAUAAAUUCAAUCAGCUAGCUUAUUCGCUACAAGGUAAAAGCUAGCUUAUAAGCUAUUCACUAUAAGCUCAUAGUAAGAUAAACUAUGGCUUUAUUUGGUAAGACCAAAUAUUGAGCUUAUAACUUAUAGCUUAUAAGCUAUAAGCUCUGUUUGGUAACAAUUUUUAAAAAAGAGCUUAUAGCUUAUUUUACUAGCUUAUAGCUUAUUUUUCAAACGUUAUUUCAAGUAGCUUAUGAGCUUAUAGCUUAUCAUAUUUUCUUCCAAUUUUACCCCUAUCAUCUUACUUGAAAAAAUUAAAUAUUAAUUAAACAUAUCUUUUUUAUGUCAUUUCAUACUUAUAAGCUAGCUCAACCGUUAAUUUUACAAAACACUACCAAUUCAAUCUAGCUUAUUCGCUAUAAGCUAAAAGCUAGCUUAUAAGUUCAUCCGCUAUAAGAUAGCUUAUCAGUUAUCCGCUAUUUUUUACCAAACAAAGCCUAUAAGUUAUUUUUGAAAAACUGUUAUCAAGUAGGUCUUUUUUAAAAAAUAAAUUUAUAAACUAUGCAAGCUUAUGUGUUUUUCCAUUAUGGCUAUGUUUGACAAAAAUAGCUUAUGGCUGAUAAUGUAGCUGAUAGUUUAUAGCUGAUGGCUGAUGAGUGAUGUCUGAUAGCUUCUAGCUGAUAAGUUGAUUGAAGUGUUUGGUAAAAUUAGCGGUUCAACCGACUGAUAAAUAUAAAAUGACAUCUUUAAUUCAAUAAAUGAUUUUAUCAAAUUAAUACUAUUCAAGAUAGUUAUAAUUUUUGUGUCAAAUAAAAAAGAUACUUAUAUUUUAAGUUUAUUAAUUAAAAAAUAUAUCUUUCAAAUAUUAUUAUUAAACUAAUUUUUAUAUGCAUAAUUUUUUAAAAAAAUUUAUUUUCAUUUCGGUUGAUAUACUUUAUUAAAAAAACAACAAAUAUAUUCACAGUAUAAUAUAAUGGUUAAUUAUAGUAAGAUACGUUGUUUCAAAAAAAGUUAUAAUAAGGUACGUACCUAUAAAUUGAUAAAAAAAAUAAUAUGUUUUAGCCUUCAUAUUCAAAAAUAAAUAAUAAGGCAACGUUAAAACUUAAAACAUAGUAUAUACAUGAGAUUUUAAAAGAAGCAACGUUAAAACUGACUUAUUUUAUUUUAAAUUCUAAUGAUAAUAAAUUAUAAAGGGUAAAUGUGAAUUUUAGUUAAAAUAAUAAGGAUAAAAGAGGAAGAAAAAAAUGAAAAGUUAGAAGAUAUAAGUUCAUAAGCUACUUAAAAUAGCUUCUGAAAAAGACUGUUAUCAAACAGAUCUUUUAACUUAUAAGCCAUAAGACAAAAGUUAAAAACUAACUUUUUUGACUUGACAAACAGACUCUCCGUGUUUUUCCAAACACAGCCUUAUAAUUUAAAAUUUAAAUUAAAACGUGAUUUCAUUUUUUAAAAUGUUUAUUUUAAUUUUUUUUCAGGGGAACAGAGAUUUGGAAAAAUCAGAGCAUUGAUGACGCAACAAGAGCAGUUCCUUGAUGACAAGGUGGAAGAAAUUGAAUGUGUAAAAAUUGAUUAAAGCCUGCAACUAUAGUGACAUAACAAAGGGAUGAUGAUGUUGUUUUAGAGCAUAGUGAACUGAAAAUACUGCUAAAGAAAGACAAAAUGUUAACCCAAAUUCAUUGAUGAAAUCCAAAUCCCCAUAAGCAUAAAUAAAUGUAAGUUCCAAUAAACAGAAUGGAG